GCGGGUGUAGCUCAGUGGUAGAGUGCCUGGUUGCCAAUCAGGAUAUGGGGGUUCGAUUCCCCUCACCCGCU
rnacentral:tRNA from 1 species